UACGUAGGGUGCAAGCGUUGUCCGGAAUUAUUGGGCGUAAAGAGCUCGUAGGCGGUCUGUCGCGUCGGCUGUGAAAACCCGGGGCUCAACCCCGGGCCUGCAGUCGAUACGGGCAGACUAGAGUGCGGUAGGGGGAGACUGGAAUUCCUGGUGUAGCGGUGAAAUGCGCAGAUAUCAGGAGGAACACCGGUGGCGAAGGCGGGUCUCUGGGCCGUAACUGACGCUGAGGAGCGAAAGCGUGGGGAGCGAACAGG
rnacentral:rRNA from 1 species